AACGAACGCUGGCGGCAUGCCUAACACAUGCAAGUCGAACGAGACCUUCGGGUCUAGUGGCGCACGGGUGCGUAACGCGUGGGAACCUGCCCUUAGGUUCGGAAUAACUCCCCGAAAGGGGUGCUAAUACCGGAUAAUGUCUUCGGACCAAAGAUUUAUCGCCUUUGGAUGGGCCCGCGUUGGAUUAGCUUGUUGGUAGGGUAAAAGCCUACCAAGGCGACGAUCCAUAGCUGGUCUGAGAGGAUGAUCAGCCACACUGGGAGUGGGACACGGCCCAGACUCCUACGGGAGGCAGCAGUGGGGAAUAUUGGAAAAUGGGCGAAAGCCUGAUCCAGCAAUGCCGGGUGAGUGAUGAAGGCCUUAGGGUUGUAAAGCUCUUUUACCCGGGAUGAUAAUGACAGUACCGGGAGAAUAAGCUCCGGCUAACUCCGUG
rnacentral:rRNA from 1 species